CCUACGGGAGGCAGCAGUGAGGAAUAUUGGUCAAUGGACGAGAGUCUGAACCAGCCAAGUAGCGUGAAGGAUGACUGCCCUAUGGGUUGUAAACUUCUUUUAUAUGGGAAUAAAAUGUUCCACGUGUGGGAUUUUGUAUGUACCAUAUGAAUAAGGAUCGGCUAACUCCGUGCCAGCAGCCGCGGUAAUACGGAGGAUCCGAGUGUUAUCCGGAUUUAUUGGGUUUAAAGGGAGCGUAGGUGGAUUGUUAAGUCAGUUGUGAAAGUUUGCGGCUCAACCGUAAAAUUGCAGUUGAAACUGGCAGUCUUGAGUACAGUAGAGGUGGGCGGAAUGCGUGGUGUAGCGGUGAAAUGCUUAGAUAUCACGAAGAACUCCGAUUGCGAAGGCAGUUCACUGGACUGCAACUGACACUGAGGCUCGAAAGUGUGGGUAUCAAACAGGAUUAGAUACCCCAGUAGUC
rnacentral:rRNA from 1 species